rnacentral:rRNA from 1 species
UACAGAGGGUGCUAGCGUUGUUCGGAAUCAUUGGGCGUAAAGGGCGUGUAGGCGGUUUGUUAAGUCAUGUGUGAAAUCCCUCGGCUCAACCGGGGAAGGACGCAUGAAACUGGCAAGCUAGAGUACCAAAGAGGGGGGUGGAAUUCCCGGUGUAGCGGUGAAAUGCGCAGAUAUCGGGAGGAACACCAGUAGCGAAGGCGGCACUCUGGGCCGGUACUGACGCUGAGGAGCGAAAGCGUGGGGAGCGAACAGG